UACGGAGGGUGCAAGCGUUGCUCGGAAUUAUUGGGCGUAAAGGGCUCGUAGGCGGUUUGUCGCGUCGGGAGUGAAAACUCAGGGCUUAACCCUGAGCCUGCUUCCGAUACGGGCAGACUAGAGGUAUGCAGGGGAGAACGGAAUUCCUGGUGUAGCGGUGAAAUGCGCAGAUAUCAGGAGGAACACCGGUGGCGAAGGCGGUCUCUGGGCAUUACCUGACGCUGAGGAGCGAAAGUGUGGGGAGCGAACAGG
rnacentral:rRNA from 1 species